UGGGGAAUAUUGCACAAUGGGCGCAAGCCUGAUGCAGCCAUGCCGCGUGUAUGAAGAAGGCCUUCGGGUUGUAAAGUACUUUCAGCGGGGAGGAAGGCGAUAAGGUUAAUAACCUUGUCGAUUGACGUUACCCGCAGAAGAAGCCCCGGCUAACUCCGUGCCAGCAGCCGCGGUAAUACGGAGGGUGCAAGCGUUAAUCGGAAUUACUGGGCGUAAAGUGCACGCAGGCGGUCUGUCAAGUCGGAUGUGAAAUCCCCGGGCUCAACCUGGGAACUGCAUUCGAAACUGGCAGGCUAGAGUCUUGUAGAGGGGGGUAGAAUUCCAGGUGUAGCGGUGAAAUGCGUAGAGAUCUGGAGGAAUACCGGUGGCGAAGGCGGCCCCCUGGACAAAGACUGACGCUCAGGUGCGAAAGCGUGGGGAGCAAACA
rnacentral:rRNA from 1 species